rnacentral:lncRNA from 1 species
GGAAGACGGUCAUGUCCUGGACUGAAUUUUGCAAUGCAAGUCAUGAACAUAACUCUUGCCAGGUUACUUCAAGCAUAUGAUUUUAGAACUCCAGGAAAUGAACCAGUUGACAUGACUGAAGGUAAAGGAAUUGCCUUGCCAAAAAUAACUCCUCUUGAAGUUGUUCUCACACCGCGCCUUGCUCCUGAGCUUUACCAACAGUUGAAUUGAAGAAAUUAGUUAUGUCGUCUGGAUUAAAUAAAGAGGGGUUAUACAUAUAUAAGAUGGACAAUUUCAAUUAAGAAUUUUAUGUGUAAUUUUAACUUCUAUGUCUUACUUGUAAGAAUUUUCAAUUUUC